ACAAGGAUCGCCUCCUGAUGGUGUGCCUUCGACAAACAUGGUGGAGAACAUGGCUCAGGCUUGCCCAGGUGUGCCCUAUAUGCCAACAAGUAUUUCCUACUUCAGUGCUCCCUCUUCAUGGCAGUGUUUGUGCAGAAAGAUCCUUCUGCAACAACACAAUUGUGGAGCCUGAUAUGGAGGUUCCAGGCCCUUCAUCUGCAGAUUCCUCUGUGGCUCGAUCAGCCCUUCGUUUGACAACUUCUUUAGCAACAGCAUGGAAAACAGCAGAUACCCCCCUUGAAGCCAUGCAGCUGUUUCUAGAAGAACUGAGGCAAGGAGGAGAACACCAGCCAUCUCUACUGCUGUCACUGGAUGCCAGGGAUGAUGAUGAGGAGCGGGACAGUGCCC